CACAGAGUUAGCCGGGGCUUCCUCACCAGGUACCGUCAGACUCCGACGUGUUAGGUCGGAGCUUUUCGUCCCUGGCAACAGGAGUUUACAAUCCGAAGACCUUCAUCCUCCACGCGGCGUUGCGUCGUCAGGCUUGCGCCCAUUGCGAACAAUUCCCCACUGCUGCCUCCCGUAGGAGUCUGGGCCGUGUCUCAGUCCCAGUGUGUCCGUCCGCCCUCUCAGGCCCGGAUACUGAUCGUCGUCUUGGUGGGCCGUUACCUCACCAACUAGCUAAUCAGACGCGGGCCCCUCAACAAGCGCCAGGUCUUGCGAUCCCCGGCUUUGAUCUCCGUCCGUUCAAGGACAGGAUGUCAUGCGGUAUUAGCGUCCUUUCGGGACGUUAUCCCCCACUCGAAGGUAGUCACCCACGCGUUACUCACCCGUUCGCCACUCUACUCAUGGAUUGCUCCACUUUUCGCGUUCGACUUGCAUGUGUUAGGCACGCCGCCAGCGUUGACUUCUGACGCCAGGAUACCG
rnacentral:rRNA from 1 species